GCAUGCAUAUCUUGUGUUAGAAGAGGAUGGACAAGCACACGAUUCGCAUCUACGGUCUAGCCUUGCUACUGUCUCUCCAUCUCCUAUGCUCCGCACCUACUGCGCAAUGUCGUAUCAUCGGUGAAGAAGACGUGGAUGACGAGAAGAUCAAUUUACCGUAUGGACUUUGUGUCAACAAUAGACCGUGCAAAGCUGGAUGGGUCUGCUUGUGUUGUCUCCUCAAUCAAGAGUGCUACCCGUCCAUGGAUGCAUGCAAGAAAGACUGUCUGAAACCCUCUGCCGCUGACAUGGUGUCCAUGGCAAUGACCCGUUCUCCUUUACCUGCCCCCUCUCCCGCCUCUUCAUUAGGUUCAGUUUGAGUUGCAUAUUUUUGACUGCGACCUAAUGGAUAUUCUGUUAAAAAUAAUUUGGAAUAGAAGUAUCUAAUACAUUAGUUGCUGCAGUUUGAUUUGA